rnacentral:tRNA from 1 species
AGGAAAGUAGUUAAGUAUAACAUUUGCACUGCAAGCAAAAAGUAUUGUUUUCAAUCUUUCUUA